rnacentral:rRNA from 1 species
UACGAAGGGGGCUAGCGUUGCUCGGAAUCACUGGGCGUAAAGCGCACGUAGGCGGAUUGCUAAGUCAGGGGUGAAAUCCUGGAGCUCAACUCUAGAACUGCCUUUGAUACUGAAGAUCUUGAGUCCGGGAGAGGUGAGUGGAACUGCGAGUGUAGAGGUGAAAUUCGUAGAUAUUCGCAAGAACACCAGUGGCGAAGGCGGCUCACUGGCCCGGUACUGACGCUGAGGCACGAAAGCGUGGGGAGCAAACAGG